GGCCGGAUAAGGCGUUUACGCCGCAUCCGGCAACAGUGCCGACUGCCUGAUGCGACGCUCGCGCGUCUUAUCAGGCC
rfam:Escherichia coli str. K-12 substr. MG1655, complete genome.